rnacentral:rRNA from 1 species
GACGAACGCUGGCGGCGUGCUUAACACAUGCAAGUCGAACGGAAAGGCCCUGCUUUUGUGGGGUGCUCGAGUGGCGAACGGGUGAGUAACACGUGAGUAACCUGCCCUUGACUUUGGGAUAACUUCAGGAAACUGGGGCUAAUACCGGAUAGGAGCUCCUGCUGCAUGGUGGGGGUUGGAAAGUUUCGGCGGUUGGGGAUGGACUCGCGGCUUAUCAGCUUGUUGGUGGGGUAGUGGCUUACCAAGGCUUUGGCGGGUAGCCGGCCUGGGAGGGUGACCGGCCACAUUGGGACUGAGAUACGGCCCAGACUCCUACGGGAGGCAGCAGUGGGGAAUAUUGCACAAUGGGCCGAAGCCUGAUGCAGCAACGCCGCGUGCGGGAUGACGGCCUUCGGGUUGUAAACCGCUUGAGCCUGUGACGAAGCGUGAGUGACGGUAAUGGGUAAAGAAGCACCGGCUAACUACGUG